rnacentral:rRNA from 1 species
UACGUAGGUGGCAAGCGUUGUCCGGAAUUAUUGGGCGUAAAGCGCGCGCAGGCGGUCCUUUAAGUCUGAUGUGAAAGCCCACGGCUCAACCGUGGAGGGUCAUUGGAAACUGGGGGACUUGAGUGCAGGAGAGAAGAGUGGAAUUCCACGUGUAGCGGUGAAAUGCGUAGAGAUGUGGAGGAACACCGAUGGCGAAGGCAGCGCCCUGGGAUGUGACUGACGCUCAUGUACGAAAGCGUGGGGAGCAAACAGG